rnacentral:rRNA from 1 species
CUUGCUUUCGAGGGGACAGCGGCCAAGGGAGAGUAACAGGUAGAUACCUACCUCCAGGCUGGGAAUAGCGUCGGGAAACUGGCGGUAAUGCCCAAUAACAUCUACGGAUCAAAGCUCCGGCGCCUGGAGAUGGGUCUGCUCACUAUUAACUGGUUGGUAAGGUAAUGGCUUACCAAGGCGACGAUGGUUAGCGGGCGUGAGAGCGUGGCCCGUCUCACUGGGACUGAGACACUGCCCAGACACCUACGGGUGGCUGCAGUCGAGAAUCUUCGGCAAUGGACGCAAGUCUGACCGAGCGAUGCCGCGUGCGGGAUGAAGGCCUUCGGGUUGUAAACCGCUGUCAGAGGGAAGGAAAUUUUGACCAAACCUCAGAGGAAGGUCGGGCUAAGUUCGUGCCAGAGGCCGCGGUAAGACGAACCGACCGAACGUUAUUCGGAAUUACUGGGCUUAAAGGGUGCGUAGGCGGCCAUGCAAGUCAGAUGUGAAAUCCCACGGCUCAUCCGUGGAACUGCGUUUGAAACUGCAUGGCUUGAGGGAGAUAGGGGUGAGCGGAACUGAUGGUGGAG